GCCUACGGGUGGCUGCAGUGGGGAAUAUUGGACAAUGGGCGAAAGCCUGAUCCAGCCAUGCCGCGUGUGUGAAGAAGGCCUUCGGGUUGUAAAGCACUUUCAGUGGGGAAGAAAGCCUUGGGGCUAAUACCCUCGAGGAAGGACAUCACCCACAGAAGAAGCACCGGCUAACUCCGUGCCAGCAGCCGCGGUAAUACGGAGGGUGCGAGCGUUAAUCGGAAUUACUGGGCGUAAAGCGCGCGUAGGCGGUCUGAUAAGCCGGUUGUGAAAGCCCCGGGCUCAACCUGGGAACGGCAUCCGGAACUGUCAGGCUAGAGUGCAGGAGAGGAAGGUAGAAUUCCCGGUGUAGCGGUGAAAUGCGUAGAGAUCGGGAGGAAUACCAGUGGCGAAGGCGGCCUUCUGGACUGACACUGACGCUGAGGUGCGAAAGCGUGGGUAGCAAACAGGAUUAGAUACCCGGGUAGUC
rnacentral:rRNA from 1 species